UGUGAAUCUUGCUCAUGCUUACAGAAAGUUGAAAAUGUAUCACGAGGCAAUUUCCUGUUAUGAGAGAGCACUGAAGUUGUCAAAUAGAAGCUUGAGCACCUAUGCAGGUCUUGCUUACACUUACCGUUUGCAGGAUAAUUUUUCUGCUGCCAUUACAUAUUAUCAUAA